CCGUAAACAUGCUAGAUUAACUAUGGUAGCAAAUCCUAGUUCCUUCUCCUAACUCUUCAUGUUACAUGCUUUCCCAUUUCUUACCUAGUAUAUUCCACAAGAAUUUUUCCAUUCCAUUGUGAUGUUGGACAAAAUGCAGCACACAGUAAAAUAAUAUUUUUGUCCGUGGAAUACCGGGGCGAAAAGAAAUUUCAUAACAAUUGCGGCAUGGAUGACAUCUUGAAAGUUGCAAGAACAUGUCGUGAUCAAGAUUCAAAGUUAAAUAAAAUAGAAAGAGUGUCAAAAUUUGACUCUCUUUUGGGGGCACGUUCUGAAAAAAUAUAAACCUUCAAUAGUAGAAAAAAGUCUAAAGAAUGAAAGGCUUCGUGCCAUUUAAGAUUCACCGAACAAAAAUUGAACGCUUACCUGAUGUCCGCAUGCCGAAAAUAACUGAAUUUUAAUCAUCUAUAGUUUGUAAAAUGAAAUUCCAUUUCUGAGACUUUCAUCCUUCUCCAAUAUCUCUGCCCAAGUUGGGAUAUCUUGAGCUGGUUCAUUUUCAUGUUUAUGACCGUUGAUGUGAAAAAUGCCUCCUGGUUUUUUUUCUUUGGCAAUCUGAUUUACAUCAAAAUUGCUUGAUUGACGGCCAGAUAUAUUCUUCUGGAUGAUAG
rnacentral:lncRNA from 1 species